CCUACGGGCGGCAGCAGUGAGGAAUAUUGGUCAAUGGGCUUACGCCUGAACCAGCCAAGUCGCGUGAGGGAAGACUGCCCUAUGGGUUGUAAACCUCUUUUGUCAGGGAGCAACGCCGGCUACGUGUAGCCGGACUGUGAGUACCUGAAGAAAAAGCAUCGGCUAACUCCGUGCCAGCAGCCGCGGUAAUACGGAGGAUGCGAGCGUUAUCCGGAUUUAAUGGGUUAAAGGGGUGCGUAGGCGGAAUGCCAAGUCAGCGGUAAAAUCGCGGGGCUCAACCUCGCUCCGCCGUUGAAACUGGCGUUCUUGAGUGGGCGAGAAGUAUGCGGAAUGCGUGGUGUAGCGGGGAAAUGCAUAGAUAUCACGCAGAACUCCGAUUGCGAAGGCAGCAUACCGGCGCCCAACUGACGCUGAAGCACGAAAGCGUGGGUAUCGAACAGGAUUAGAUACCCGAGUAGUC
rnacentral:rRNA from 1 species